rfam:Triticum aestivum genome assembly, contig: Triticum_aestivum_CS42_TGACv1_scaffold_471770_6AL
AAAAUAUUCGAUCCGUCCGAAAAUACCUAUCAUCAAAAUGAAUAAAAGAAGAUGUAUAUAGAUGUAUUUUAGUUCUAAAUACAUCCUUCUUAUCUAUUUUGAUGACAAAUAUUUUCGGACGGAGGGAGUACUUG